UACGUAGGGGGCUAGCGUUGUUCGGAUUUACUGGGCGUAAAGCGCACGUAGGCGGCUCGUUAAGUCGGGGGUGAAAUCCUGGAGCUCAACUCCAGAACUGCCUUCGAUACUGGCGAUCUUGAGUCCGGAAGAGGUGAGUGGAACUCCUAGUGUAGAGGUGGAAUUCGUAGAUAUUAGGAAGAACACCAGUGGCGAAGGCGGCUCACUGGUCCGGUACUGACGCUGAGGUGCGAAAGCGUGGGGAGCAAACAGG
rnacentral:rRNA from 1 species